UAGUUUAGAGAUUGAGCCUGGGUCAGAUUGAAGGCGGCCGGCAGGCCUCACACAAGCAAGUCGAGCGGACGACGGGAGCUUUCUCCGGGAUUCAGCGGCGGACGGGUGAGUAAUGUCUAGGAAUCUGCCCGGUAGUGGGGGACAACGUUUGGAAAGGAACGCUAAUACCGCAUACGUCCUCAGGGAGAAAGCAGGGGACCUUCGGGCCUCACACCAUCAGAUGAGCCCAGGUGGGAUUAGCUAGUUGGUGAGGUAAUGGCUCACCAAGGCGACGAUCCCUAACUGGUCUGAGAGGAUGAUCAGUCACACUGGAACUGAGACACGGUCCAGACUCCUACGGGAGGCAGCAGUGGGGAAUAUUGGACAAUGGGCGAAAGCCUGAUCCAGCCAUGCCGCGUGUAUGAAGAAGGUCUUCGGAUUGUAAAGCACUUCAAGUUGGGAGGAAGGGUUGUAGAUAAUACUCCGCAAGA
rnacentral:rRNA from 1 species